rnacentral:rRNA from 1 species
GUGAGGAAUUUUCCGCAAUGGGGGCAACCCUGACGCAGCGACGCCGCGUGGAGGACGAAGUCUUUCGGGAUGUAAACUCCUGUCAGUGGGGACGAUAAUGACGGUACCCACAGAGGAAGCACCGGCUAACUCCGUGCCAGCAGCCGCGGUAAGACGGAGGGUGCAAGCGUUGUUCGGAAUUACUGGGCGUAAAGCGUAUGUAGGCGGCAAGUUAAGUUCAAUGUUAAAGCCCACGGCUCAACCGAGGAGAUGCAUUGAAUACUGGCUAGCUAGAGGGUGUUAGAGGAAGACGGAAUUCCCAGUGUAGCGGUGAAAUGCGUAGAUAUUGGGAGGAACAUCGGUAGCGAAAGCGGUCUUCUGGGACAUACCUGACGCUGAGGUACGAAAGCGUGGGGAGCAAACGGGAUUAGAUACCCCUGUAGUCC